GCUUGCACCACCAUGUCCUGACCUCACGUAAUCCACCUGCCUCGGCCUCCCAGAUUGCUGGGAUUUACAGGCCUGAGCCAUUACGCCCGGCUCCUCGUUUCUUAAAAUCCCUGAGCUCUACAAAGUAGAACUGUAAUCCUCCGUUUAUUGCCUUAUUUCACACUGAAAUAACCCAACAUUUAUUUUUAAGCCUGUCACAUCUCAUAUUAAAUGUGUAAGUCUGAACUGUAGGAGGACUUUAAACAAAGGAACGUUCCAUAAGAAUACUAUAUGACACCAGUUUCUACUGCUAGGAAUGCGACCACAGGAGCUGAAGCCUGGCCCACCCACUCCAAACCAGAGAACAAGCACAGGCUGCCACAGGAGAUCCUGGGUAAGAAAUCAGCUGCAGCAUCUAGAGUAGCAUGAAGGAAGCACUGGCCAAAUUAAAAGAUGAAACUUCCAAAAG